rnacentral:lncRNA from 1 species
AAAUAAAAAUAGAUAUUCAAAAUUUGUAUUUAUAAAAAUAGGUUGAUAAAAAUGGUGAAUGAUUCAUUGCUUUUACAUAAUUUACAUAUUUUCUACAUCCAAAUUUCAAAAAAAAAAAUGCAUGGUAUUAAGCACAAAAUAAUUUUAAUCCUUUGAAGAAAGCGGUGAAUGAUUUACUGUAUUUAGAAAGUAGUAAUUUAUUUACCGUAUAGAAUUAGUUUUGUAAAUAAAUUUUUAAGAGGACUACUUUUAUAAUUAUAAUAUUUUUUAAGUCUGUUAAUAAGAAAAAUUUAGUAAAUGGGCUAAAAUGUAUGGAUAGU